rnacentral:rRNA from 1 species
GAUGAACGCUAGCGGCAGGCUUAAUACAUGCAAGUCGUGGGGCAGCAGGUUUGUAGCAAUACAGAUGCUGGCGACCGGCAAACGGGUGCGGAACACGUACAGAACCUUCCUUUGAGCGGGGAAUAGCCCAGAGAAAUUUGGAUUAAUACCCCAUAGUAUAAUGAAGUGGCAUCACUUUAUUAUUAAAGAUUUAUCACUCGAAGAUGGCUGUGCGGCUGAUUAGGUAGUUGGCGGGGUAAAGGCCCACCAAGCCUGCGAUCAGUAACUGGUGUGAGAGCACGACCAGUCACACGGGCACUGAGACACGGGCCCGACUCCUACGGGAGGCAGCAGUAAGGAAUAUUGGUCAAUGGAGGCAACUCUGAACCAGCCAUGCCGCGUGGAGGAUGAAGGUCCUCUGGAUUGUAAACUUCUUUUGCAUGGGACGAAAAAACUUAAUUUAUUAAGGACUGACGGUACCAUGAGAAUAAGCA